GAUGAACGCUGACAGAAUGCUUAACACAUGCAAGUCAACUUGAACUUCGGUUUGGGUGGCGGACGGGUGAGUAACGCGUAAAGAACUUGCCUCACAGAUAGGGACAACAUUUGGAAACGAAUGCUAAUACCUGAUAUUAUGAUUUUAGGGCAUCCUAGGAUUAUGAAAGCUAUAUGCGCUGUGAGAGAGCUUUGCGUACCAUUAGCUAGUUGGAGAGGUAACGGCUCACCAAGGCGAUGAUGGGUAGCCGGCCUGAGAGGGUGAUCGGCCACAAGGGGAAUGAGACACGGCCCUUACGCCUACGGGAGGCAGCAGUGGGGAAUAUUGGACAAUGGACCAAGAGUCUGAUCCAGCAAUUCUGUGUGCACGAUGAAGUUUUUCGGAAUGUAAAGUGCUUUCAGUUGGGAAGAAAAAAAUGACGGUACCAACAGAAGAAGUGACGGCUAAAUACGUG
rnacentral:rRNA from 1 species